rnacentral:rRNA from 1 species
AGAGUUUGAUCCUGGCUCAGAAUGAACGCUGGCGGCGUGCUUAACACAUGCAAGUCGAACGAGAAAGGGAUUGCUUGCAAUCCCGAGUAGAGUGGCGCACGGGUGAGUAACACGUAGAUAAUCUGCCUUCAAGCCUGGGAUAACUAUUCGAAAGGGUAGCUAAUACCGGAUAAAGUCGAUCUACACAAGUAGAUUGAUGAAAGAUUGCCUCUUCUUGAAAGCAAUUGUUUGGAGAUGAGUUUGCGUACCAUUAGCUUGUUGGUGGGGUAAAGGCCUACCAAGGCAACGAUGGUUAGCUGGUCUGAGAGGAUGAUCAGCCACACUGGAACUGGAACACGGUCCAGACUCCUACGGGAGGCAGCAGUGAGGAAUUUUGCGCAAUGGGGGCAACCCUGACGCAGCAACGCCGCGUGAGUGAAGAAGGCCUUUGGGUCGUAAAGCUCUGUCAACAGGGAAGAAGUUACAAUUGUUUAAUAGAUGGUUGUAUUGACGGUACCUGUGGAGGAAGCGCCGGCUAACUACGUGCCAGCAGCCGCGGUAAUACGUAGGGUGCGAGCGUUAAUCGGAAUUAUUGGGCGUAAAGGGCGCGCAGGCGGUCUUGUCCGUCAGGUGUGAAAGCUCGGGGCUCAACCCCGGAAGUGCACUUGAAACAGCAAGACUUGAAUACGGGAGAGGAAAGCGGAAUUCCUGGUGUAGAGGUGAAAUUCGUAGAUAUCAGGAGGAACACCGAUGGCGAAGGCAGCUUUCUGGACCGAUAUUGACGCUGAGGCGCGAAGGCGUGGGUAGCAAACGGGAUUAGAUACCCUGGUAGUCG